rnacentral:rRNA from 1 species
AUUGAACGCUGGCGGCAGGCCUAACACAUGCAAGUCGAGCGGAUGAAGCGAGCUUGCUCCUGGAUUCAGCGGCGGACGGGUGAGUAAUGCCUAGGAAUCUGCCUGGUAGUGGGGGAUAACGUCCGGAAACGGGCGCUAAUACCGCAUACGUCCUGAGGGAGAAGGUGGGGGAUCUUCGGACCUCACGCUAUCAGAUGAGCCUAGGUUGGAUUAGCUAGUUGGUGGGGUAAAGGCCUACCAAGGCGACGAUCCGUAACUGGUCUGAGAGGAUGAUCAGUCACACUGGAACUGAGACACGGUCCAGACUCCUACGGGAGGCAGCAGUGGGGAAUAUUGGGCAAUGGGCGAAAGCCUGAUCCAGCCAUGCCGCGUGUGUGAAGAAGGUCUUCGGAUUGUAAAGCACGUUAAGUUGGGAGGAAGGGCAGUAAGUUAUUACCUUGCUGUUUUGACGUUACCAGCAGAAUAAGCACCGGCUAACUUCGUG